AGCCCUGUGGUGUAGCGGUCAAGCACGUCGGGCUCUGGACCCGAAAACCCCGGUUCAAAUCCGGGCAGGGCUA
rnacentral:tRNA from 1 species